rnacentral:rRNA from 1 species
CUGGCGGCAGGCCUAAUACAUGCAAGUCGAGCGCGCCCUUCGGGGUGAGCGGCGGACGGGUGAGUAACGCGUGGGAAUAUGCCCUUCUCUAAGGAAUAGCCUCUGGAAACGGAGAGUAAUACCUUAUACGCCCUUUGGGGGAAAGAUUUAUCGGAGAAGGAUUAGCCCGCGUUAGAUUAGGUAGUUGGUGGGGUAAUGGCCUACCAAGCCUACGAUCUAUAGCUGGUUUGAGAGGAUGAUCAGCCACACUGGGACUGAGACACGGCCCAAACUCCUACGGGAGGCAGCAGUAGGGAAUCUUAGACAAUGGGGGCAACCCUGAUCUAGCCAUGCCGCGUGUGUGAUGAAGGCCCUAGGGUCGUAAAGCACUUUCGCCAGAGAUGAUAAUGACAGUAUCUGGUAAAGAAACCCCGGCUAACUCCGUGCCAGCAGCCGCGGUAAUACGGAGGGGGUUAGCGUUGUUCGGAAUUACUGGGCGUAAAGCGCACGUAGGCGGACUGGAAAGUUGGGGGUGAAAUCCCGGGGCUCAACCUCGGAACUGCCUCCAAAACUAUCAGUCUAGAGUUCGAGAGAGGUGAGUGGAAUUCCAAGUGUAGAGGUGAAAUUCGUAGAUAUUUGGAGGAACACCAGUGGCGAAGGCGGCUCACUGGCUCGAUACUGACGCUGAGGUGCGAAAGUGUGGGGAGCAAACAGGAUUAGAUACCCUGGUAGUCCACACCGUAAACGAUGAAUGCCAGUCGUCGGCAAGUAUACUUGUCGGUGACACACCUAACGGAUUAAGCAUUCCGCCUGGGGAGUACGGUC